rnacentral:rRNA from 1 species
UCCUUUGACGUUAACGGCGGACGGGUGAGUAACACGUGGGUAACCUACCUAUAAGACUGGAAUAACUCCGGGAAACCGGGGCUAAUGCCGGAUAACAUAUAGAACCGCAUGGUUCUAUAGUGAAAGAUGGUUUUGCUAUCACUUAUAGAUGGACCCGCGCCGUAUUAGCUAGUUGGUAAGGUAAUGGCUUACCAAGGCGACGAUACGUAGCCGACCUGAGAGGGUGAUCGGCCACACUGGAACUGAGACACGGUCCAGACUCCUACGGGAGGCAGCAGUAGGGAAUCUUCCGCAAUGGGCGAAAGCCUGACGGAGCAACGCCGCGUGAGUGAUGAAGGGUUUCGGCUCGUAAAACUCUGUUAUUAGGGAAGAACAUAUGUGUAAGUAACUGUGCACAUCUUGACGGUACCUAAUCAGAAAGCCACGGCUAACUACGUGCCAGCAGCCGCGGUAAUACGUAGGUGGCAAGCGUUUUCGGGAAUUAUUGGGCGUAAAGCGCGCGUAGGCGGUUUCUUAAGUCUGAUGUGAAAGCCCACGGCUCAACCGUGGAGGGUCAUUGGAAACUGGGAAACUUGAGUGCAGAAGAGGAAAGUGGAAUUCCAUGUGUAGCGGUGAAAUGCGCAGAGAUAUGGAGGAACACCAGUGGCGAAGGCGACUUUCUGGUCUGUAACUGACGCUGAUGUGCGAAAGCGUGGGGAUCAAACAGGAUUAGAUACCCUGGUAGUCCACGCCGUAAACGAUGAGUGCUAAAGUGUUAGGGGGUUUCCGCCCCUUAGUGCUGCAGCUAACGCAUUAAGCACUCCGCCUGGGGAGUACGACCGCAAGGUUGAAACUCAAAGGAAUUGACGGGGACCCGCACAAGCGGUGGAGCAUGUGGUUUAAUUCGAAGCAACGCGAAGAACCUUACCAAAUCUUGACAUCCUUUGACCACUCUAGAGAUAGAGCUUUCCCCUUCGGGGGACAAAGUGACAGGUGGUGCAUGGUUGUCGUCAGCUCGUGUCGUGAGAUGUUGGGUUAAGUCCCGCAACGAGCGCAACCCUUAAGCUUAGUUGCCAUCAUUAAGUUGGGCACUCUAGGUUGACUGCCGGUGACAAACCGGAGGAAGGUGGGGAUGACGUCAAAUCAUCAUGCCCCUUAUGAUUUGGGCUACACACGUGCUACAAUGGACAAUACAAAGGGCAGCUAAACCGCGAGGUCAUGCAAAUCCCAUAAAGUUGUUCUCAGUUCGGAUUGUAGUCUGCAACUCGACUACAUGAAGCUGGAAUCGCUAGUAAUCGUAGAUCAGCAUGCUACGGUGAAUACGUUCCCGGGUCUUGUACACACCGCCCGUC